rnacentral:lncRNA from 1 species
UGCCAGCACUUUAGGAGGUUGAGUCAGGAGGAUAGCUUAAACCCAGGAGUUUGAGGCCAACCUGGGCAACACAGUGGGACACCAUCUCUACAAAAAAAUAAAAAAAAUAGCCAGGCACAGUGGCACGCACUCAGGAGGCUGAAGCAGGAGGAUCCUUUGAGCCUGGGAGGUUGAGGUUGCAGUGAGCACCACUGCACACCAGCCUGAGUGACAGAGCGAGUCCCUGUCUCAAAAAAUAAUAAUAAUUGCUCCUCGGCCUUUUGGCUAAGAUCAAGUACAAAAGAAUAAUAAUAAAUAUUUUUAAAUAAAAAGCAAUCCAUCACCUGUACCCCCCACAACUUUCUAACGUGUAUUAUCACCUUUGACUUCCUCAAAUCCUCUUCAAGAAUCACCCAUCCCUAUUUCAAGACUGGCGGACAUCAUUCUAUUCCUUUUAUAGGGCUUUGCUGUUUCCUAAAACACUUUCAUUUUCUGGUGGCAAUAAAAGUAGUCUGGUGGUGAUACAAACUAAUGUUGUUUUCUUUAACACUUACAGCUCAUCUGUAGGAUCACUUCGAUUUGCACUCUUUUUGCAAAGGCAAAACAUCUAAAGAAGAGACAGUAUCCAUACACUUGUCUACUCAUUAUUAUCAUUCGAGACAGACAAAACGCCCACCUGGGGAGGAAAUUCCCCAUGAAAAAGACAGAGUCAUGUGAAGCUGGCUGGGUGCCCUCAAUCCAGAAGAGGAGCCCACGGCCCCAAGGAAUGGGGAAGCCACCACUACCACUUGGAAGGAGGCUGUAUCCCUGAAUGGCACUGUGGAGCAUACACAUUUCUCCCCAUUCACUGGCCAGAGUUAGACUGUAACAAAGGAAUCAAGAAGGGUGGAGAGUGUAUCUGCAGAAGGAAUCAGCUGAGUUUGGAGACUAUUUUGAUAUCCUGAUUCCCUCUUAAGAAAUGAUGACUCAAUGCAAAUCAAGAGGAUGACAUGACUGCUAAAAAAUGUAAUGCAUUAUUGGCACCAUUCGUAAAAGUAUACUGUCCACAGUAAAAAAAAAUAUGUUGUCCUGGGUAAUACAUUUUAAGAAAUAUAUCAUUAAAAGCAUGUGUCUAAAGGAGGACAAUCAGGAUAAGGGAGAGUUCUGGAAACAUGUCAUAUGGAUAAUAAGAAAAAAUAAAGCUUAAAGAAAAAUAAGAAGGAAUAUGACAAAUAUUUUCAAAUAGGAGUAAAUUUAUUUCAUAUAGAUUCAGGGGGAGAAUCAAGUCUGAGGAUUAUAAACCAUAAGCAGACUGAUUUCCACUCAAUAUAAGGAAACACUUUCCAUUAAAACUGUCCAAUAAUGGCCAGGUGCAGUGGCUCAUGCCUGUAAUGUCAGCACUUUGGGAGGCCAAGGCAGCCAGAUCACCUGAGGUCGGGAGUUCAAGACCAGCCUGGUCAACAUGGUGAAACCCUGUCUCUACCAAAAAAAAAAAUUAGCCAGGUGUGGUGGUGGGUGCCUGUAAUCCCAGCUACUCAGGAGGCUGAGGCACAAGAAUCGCUUGAGCUUGGGAGGUGGAGGUUGCAAUGAACCGAGAUUGACAGAGGAGACGCCAUCUCAAAAAAAAAAAAAAAAAAAAGAAAGAAAGAAAGAAAAAGCAGAGGGAGAAAACUGUCCAAUCAUUAUUGGAGUUAGGUCCAUGGAAACGUAGUGAACUCCUAGUUACUAAAAGAAUUCAAGAGAAAGCUGAAUAAUAUUCCAGAAAGUACACUAUAAAACAGGAGUUGGCUGGGCAUGGUGGCUCACGCCUGUAAUCCUAGCACUUUGGGAGGCCGAGGCAGGCAGAUCAUGAGG